rnacentral:tRNA from 1 species
GCCGGGAUGGCGGAAUUGGUAGACGCCCGAGACUUAAAAUCUCGUGGGAGAUUCUCCCGUGCGGGUUCGAGUCCCGCUCCCGGCA